CCUACGGGAUGCAGCAGUGGGGAAUAUUGGGCAAUGGGCGCAAGCCUGACCCAGCAACGCCGCGUGAAGGAAGAAGGCUUUCGGGUUGUAAACUUCUUUUAAGAGGGAAGAGCAGAAGACGGUACCUCUUGAAUAAGCCCCGGCUAACUACGGGCCAGCAGCCGCGGGAAUACGGAGGUGGCCAGCGUUGUCCGGAUUUACUGGGUGUAAAGGGCGUGUAGCCGGGCUGACAAGUCAGAGGUGAAAUUCCGGGGCUCAACCCCGGACCUGCAUUUGAAACUGUUGGUCUUGAGUAUCGGAGAGGCAGGCGGAAUUCCUAGUGUAGCGGUGAAAUGCGUAGAUAUUAGGAGGAACACCAGUGGCGAAGGCGGCCUGCUGGACGACAACUGACGGUGAGGCGCGAAAGCGUGGGGAGCAAACAGGAUUAGAUACCCUUGUAGUC
rnacentral:rRNA from 1 species